GUGAGUAUAGCUCAGUGGUAGAGCACAUGCUUAGCAUGCACGAGGUCCUGGGUUCAAUUCCUAGUACCUCCA
rnacentral:tRNA from 1 species